rnacentral:rRNA from 1 species
AUCGAACGCUAGCGGGAUGCCUUACACAUGCAAGUCGAACGGAGUGGCGAACGGGUGAGUAAUGUAUCGGAACGUGCCCAGUAGCGGGGGAUAACUACGCGAAAGCGUAGCUAAUACCGCAUACGAGUGGAGCGGUCGAUAUCGGAUGAGAUAGUUGGUGGGGUAACGGCUCACCAAGGCGCCGAUCCGUAGCUUGUUUGAGGGGACGACCAGCCACACUGGGACUGAGACACGGCCCAGACUCCUACGGGAGGCAGCAGUGGGGAAUUUUGGACAAUGGGGGAAACCCUGAUCCAGCCAUCCCGCGUGUGCGAUGAAGGCCUUCGGGUUGUAAAACACUUUUGGCAGGGAAGCGGUACCUGCCGAGUAAGCACCGGCUAACUACGUGCCAGCAGCCGCGGUAAUUC